rnacentral:miRNA from 1 species
UCUGACAGGAGGGCCCGGGGUCCCC